GAGGAAAAGAAACCAACAGGGAUUGCCUCAGUAACGGCGAGUGAAGCGGCAAAAGCUCAAAUUUGAAAUCUAGCACUUUCAGUGUUCGAGUUGUAAUUUGAAGAAGGUAACUUUGGUUUUGGCUCUUGUCUAUGUUCCUUGGAACAGGACGUCACAGAGGGUGAGAAUCCCGUGCGAUGAGAUGCCCAAUUCCAUGUAAAGUGCUUUCGAAGAGUCGAGUUGUUUGGGAAUGCAGCUCUAAGUGGGUGGUAAAUUCCAUCUAAAGCUAAAUAUUGGCGAGAGACCGAUAGCGAACAAGUACAGUGAUGGAAAGAUGAAAAGAACUUUGAAAAGAGAGUGAAAAAGUACGUGAAAUUGUUGAAAGGGAAGGGCUUGAGAUCAGACUUGGUAUUUUGCGUUCCCUUCCUUUUUGGUUGGGUUCCUCGCAGUUUACUGGGCCAGCAUCGGUUUGGAUGGUAGGAUAAUGACAUUGGAAUGUAGCUUUACUUCGGUGAAGUGUUAUAGACUUUGUUGAUACUGCCUAUCUAGACCGAGGACUGCGUCUUUGACUAGGAUGCUGGCGUAAUGAUCUUAAGCCGCCCGUCUUGA
rnacentral:rRNA from 1 species